rnacentral:lncRNA from 1 species
AAUGACUCGCACGGAUAUCGGAUCCACUGCAUACGUAUCUCAUCUGAAUAUGAGAAUCAGAGUCUUCGUAGCUCGACUACCUAUGGGUUAGGGGGAUGUGUGCUCGAUAAGACGUCGCGUCUUAUGCCUACGUAUCUCAUCUGGAAUGAGAAUCAGAGCACGCCGUAGUUCGGCUAACUACGGGGUUGGUUGUGUUUUUGGGUGAACGACGUUAC